AUUACUAUUAAUCCAGGGUGAUGGUAAAAAUGAAAAAUCUAUUAAAUGGUAACACAUGGGUGUGGCCUCGAGGCAAGUUUAUCAACAGACGUUACCUUAUACAGGAAAUGUACCAAAGGUUCAUUGAUGGUGAGGAUGUGAGCAAUAUUAAACAGGAGGAGGAUCCA